GACGAACGCUGGCGGCGUGCUUAAUACAUGCAAGUAGAACGAAGUGGCGAACGGGUGAGUAAUACGAGGGUAACCUGCCCUCCUUUUUGGGAUAAGCCUUGGAAACGGGGUCUAAUACCGAAGAAAGGGGGAUGGGCUCGCGGCCUAUCAGCUGGUUGGUGGGGUGAUGGCCUACCAAGGCGGUGACGGGUAGCCGGCCUGAGAGGGGGACCGGCCACGUUGGGAGUGCGAUACGGCCCAGGCACGUACGAGUGGCGGCAGUGGGGGAUAUGGCGCAAGGGGCGAAAGGCAGAUGCAGCGACGCGGCGUGGGGGAUGAAGGCUUUCGGGUUGUAAACCUCUUUCGCUAGCGAACGGGUAGGUGGAGAAGAAGCGACGGCUAACUACGUGCCAGCAGCCGCGGUAAUAC
rnacentral:rRNA from 1 species